CUUUUUACAAAUCUUAUUUGGCUUUUCAUGAAGCUUAAAAUUAGAAAAUACACAUUUCCUAAAAUGAAAUAAAAAUAUAAUAUUCAAUAUGCAGGGUAUUACAUUCCCUUUUGGGCUAAGGCAGUGGUCUUGAGUCCACUCAGUAUCGUUUCUUCUUAGAAAUGCAAUGUAAUACAAAGCCACAUUCUCUGUUUUUCUACAGGGAUCUCUAAGACAGCUUUCCCACCAUUUCCUCAGUUUCUCACAAAAUCUAAAUCUGCAGCUGUGCUGGUUUGGACUCCUGCCAAGGUACUGACUCUGUGCUCACAUGAACAUCCAGCGGAAGAAGAUGCUUUCUAGACUCUACUCUUUUGGCUCUCUACCUGAAGAUAAUUAUGUCAUCAUUACCUGACUCCACAAGGUUCCUAAGAAUUCAAUAAAAACAGUACAAUGUGUGAUAAUUUCUGAGAA
rnacentral:lncRNA from 1 species